rnacentral:piRNA from 1 species
AUAAGAAACUCGGUGUGAGA